ACUUAUCCAAAGAGACUCAGGCUGAGUCUACAAUCAAUAUUUGAUUAGCUACAAGUGCUGCACGACCUUCUUAAAGAAAGACAGCUGGACAGAGUGCCGAGCAGGAAUAGGAAUAUAGAGUUGAAACGAUGACCAAUAUAGUGUCCAGGGCCUGGGUGCGUUUUGUUUUCCAGUGGUGGUAACAGUGGAUCUAGUUGUCAUCCUAAAUGCGUCGUGUAGGAGAUCUCAUUAUGGUGGACGGCCCAGAGGGGAAAGUUUAAGACAGCUGCUGUGAUCAAUUUGGUUCUUUCACCACGUAAGGCAGAGGAUACGAUGAGGAAACCGAGGCAUUUCCUAUCCUAACCCGGCCCAGAUGUGAAGUCUCAGGGAAUACAGUGUCAUUACAUAACAUUCAUACAUCAUCGGGGCGCUUGGCUCCCAAACGCCA